rnacentral:rRNA from 1 species
GACGGCGAUCAUACCACGUUGAAAACACUGAUUUUCGUUGGAUCACCGAAGUUAAGCAACGUUGGGUUUGAUCAGUACUUGUAUGGGUGACCGGCUGGGAAUACCCGGUGUUACCCGCU